AUGAGCUCACCUUGCCAGUGGACGAGAGACCAUGAAAAAACCACAGUGGAAUUAGCAUCACUGGGGUCUGUAAGAGUGCCCAAGAAGUCACGUAACUACCAUUCACCUGGAAAUGCUGCAGGAUGGACAGAGAAGUGGAAGAAUGUGAAAGAAAAUCAGAAAGGCUGUUGCAGGAAAAAAAGACAAAACACAGAAUAUGGCAAAAGAGUUCUAAUCAGACUGACCUUCUACAUGGCACUGGAAUUAUUGGUGUACCCUGUAUACAUGCUGCAAAUGAUACACUGUCUCUGCAUCAGCCUGUGCUGA
ensembl:lncRNA